rnacentral:lncRNA from 1 species
UUGGAUAAUUGUUAGUACUACCUUCUUCCCAACUCCAGUAAUGCUUCUUUCACAGGCAUAACCAAACCCUAAUUAGAUACAAUUUCCAAUCAAUAUCUUCUCAAAACCCCCAAUUCAUCGUUCAUCCUAAAACCCUUACCCACUAUAUUGGUGACAUGGCUUGUGCGUGGAGCAAACUGAAGAAAUCGUUGUCUCUCAAACGCUCUCAGCGGCCAACGAUCUCCGCCGCCUCAAAGCUUUUCCUUUACAUCAAAGGCUAAUUCGGAUUCCGGAUCCCAUCCAGUCUCUCGCUCGUCUGCUGGUUCUUCUCCUUUUUCUCUGACCUUCAGCACCAAAUCUAAGGUAAUUGACAGUUUACCCAAUCCCACAUUUGUUUAUUUUUUUGGAAAAUUCACUCUCGCCGGAUUCCUUUUUUCCGGUAACUAAUUUUCCCAGUAACUAGGCGAAGAUUCCCGCUUUCAAAACUACUACAUUUUCACAGAUGGCUUUACCUAUUUAUGAAUUUUCUUUUUUCAUUCUUGUUAUAGCAGGGGUAAUUUUUUCCGGGAAAAAAAUACCUUUUCCCCGUAACCAAUUGACCACUGAACUUUAAAAAUAUGCAAUUGGACCACUGUGCUUUCUAAAAAUGAAAAUUCAGGCCAUUCCGUCCAAUUUCACGCCAAAUAUUUUCAGGCGUGGCAUUGAAAAAAAAAUAAUCAAAAAAUUAUUAUUUUCUGAUGUGGCAACACAAAACUAUAAGCAUUGAGUUACUGUACUUUAAAAAAAUGUAAUUGACCCACUAAACUUUUUUAAAAAAUAUUAAUUAGGUCAUUCAUUGGACGGGCGUCAAAUACUAUGAAAAAUAUUAAAAUAUAUUAAUAACUAAACAUAAAAAUAAAAAACAAAACAAAACAAAAUAAAAAAUAGAACCAAAUCAAAAUCAAAAUAAGAGUGAAGAGGGGUGGUUUUCUGCACUUCUUAUGUGGAUUUCUUGGGACUUGUUGGUUGUUGGGUAUGCACAAAAUGGACUAUUUGAUGAUGCAUUGGAGGUUUGUAGGGAUAUGCAAACAUUUGGCGUCGAAUCCGAUUUUGGUACAAUGGCUAGCCUCUUGCCUGUUGUAACUAAUACAUCACAUAACAAUGUCAUGGCUGUGAAUGAUACGUUCAUAAACCAUGCUAAUGAGAGUUUGGUUUCAUGGAAUGUUAUGAUUGUAGUGUAUGUGAAUAAUUGUGUUGAUAGAAUUACUGAAGAAUUGUGUUGCAAUAUCUUAGUUAAAAGUUGUUUAAAUAUUUAGAAUGUUCAUAUAUCCAACUUAUUUAUAUCUGAAAAUUUAAGAAAAAAGUUAGAAGAUUGAAGCAAAACUACUCCCAAUACACCCAAAUUAUCUUCCACUGCAAAAACCCUAAAAUCUAAAAUUUAAUAUAAUAUAAACCCAAUAAAUUCACAUAAGAAGUGCAGAAAACCACCCCUCUUCACUCUUAUUUUGAUUUUGAUUUGGUUUUGUUUUUUAUUUUAUUUUGUUUUGUUUUUUAUUUUUAUGUUUAGUUAUUAAUAGAUUUUAAUAUUUUUCACAGUAUUUGACGUUUGUCCAAUGAAUGACCUAAUUAAAUUUUUUUAAAAGUUUAGUGGGUCAAUUACAUUUUUUUAAAGUACAAUGACUCAAUGCUUACAGUUUUGUGUUGCCACAUCAGAAAAUAAUGAUUUUUUAAUUUUUUUCAAUGCCACAUCUGAAAAUAUUUGACGUCCGUCCAAGAAAUUGGACGGAAUGGCCUGAAUUUUCAUUUUUAGAAAGCACAGUAGUCCAAUUGCAUAUUUUUAAAGUUCAGUGGCCAAUUACUUACAAGUCGACGACCACAGGGGGGUAAAUGUGUUUUUUGCCAUUUUUUUACACUAUAAUCGACUUCAAUAUACAAUUAUAUAGACUAAAUAUUUUACUCCCUCCUAUUCAAUGUCUUUUUAGAGAGUUUCAUUUUAUUCUAUAUAAGUGUUGUUUUGGAAUCCCUAUGUAAUAUUGCACUAUUUUUUUCUAAUUUACCCCUCUAUUUAAUAUGCUUAGUAAAUGCAAUUCCAUGGACCAUUGUGGAGAGAUAAAUAAUUAAUUAGGGAUACAAAAGACAUUUUGUGUUAUUUCUUAAUAAGUGUGCUUAACUCUAAAAAGACAUUUAAUAUGAAUGGGAUGGAGUAAUAGUUAACUCAUUAAAUUAAAUUUCACGUUAUUUACAAAAAGUGAUAGCAUGUGUUCGUUAACCAUUUAACAGAAAAUUGGUGUGACAAUACGUGAUAUUAUAUUACAUUACUUAUGUGAAUUAAAUAUAUAAUUAAAAGACUUAAAUUGCUGAGUUGUAUAAAAAUCAUACCUUUCUACGUCAAAGACUUGUGAAAAGCUCUAUAUCCCCAAAUCAGUCCAAAUCGAUCCCAAAUUGAUUUCAUAUCGGUUCCUUAUCUAUCACCGAGAGCGACGACGAAGAAAAGACAAUUAACAUGAGCAGCUCCAACGAAAUUAGCAUCAUAAAUUGCGUCAAUGAUUGGGAGAUAUCCAAAAGUCCGGUGACAUGACGAUGUGGUUUAGUCGCGUCUAUGUGGGUAGUAUGGAAAUAAGGAACUGCUGAUCCGAGAAAAAGGCUCAUCGAUUGUUUUCGUUUCAAGGUGUAUGCCUAAUUUUUUUUUUAUUUCUUCUCAUAAUAAUGCUCUAUUUUUGGUGUCAAGUUUUGCCCUAAUUUUCCCUUAUCUUUCUGGGUUUUGCCAAAAUCCUUUUUGUUUCCUCUGUAAUUGUGGAUAAUGAAACUGGGCUUUUGGUUUUAUUUUGGAUGAAAUAAUAACUGGUUUAAUUUGUGGCAGGAUAAAAGAUUAUCUUGUAAAUUUUUUAAAUGGUGUGAUCUACCAUGUACUGAAAUAGCAAGGGAAGUGAUAUUGGAAUUGGAGCAAAAACUUGAAAGAAACAAUGAAAUAGUUGAGAGAUUGAUGGAAGAAAUAAAAAAUAUCGAAGUUGGGAACCCAUUGAUGAGCAAGGGCGACAACGAAAAUGAAGAAACCAAGUACGAAGAUGUAUUGGUAAUGCAAAGACAAGUCCAAACGUUAAAUAAACAUAUUAUCAAGCAAAAUUCAAUGGAGAAGAAGUUAUGGAUUGCUUUAUUAGUUUCUUGGAUUUUGAUUUUCGUAGUAUUGUAAACAAAUGUGUAGAUUAUUAUAUUUGAAGGUACUAAAGGUUGUUUAUAGGGGUGAGCAUUCGGUUAUCAUCCGAACCGAACAAGAAUUUCGGUUAUAACCGAAAACCGAAAUUACACUGUUUUGAGUAUCCGAACAAUUAACCGAAAUCUAUAAUAACCGAAUAACCGAAUAGGUUAUUCGGUUAAUAACCGAAUUUAUAAAACUUAAUUAACAACAGAAGCAACAAACAUAUUACCGAGAGAGAACAGCAGUAACAGAUCAGUACAUGAUUAACACUAUGUAGCCUACAUAUUGAUAUUACAAAAGAGGCUACAUAUUGAUGUAGCCUACAUAUUGAUAUUACAAAAGAGGCCAAUACAUAUUACAAAAACAUACAGCAGAUACAUAACAUCUUACACCAGAGGCCAAUAUGUCUACGGUCUACCUGGCCAAACUCGUCGAACAAGCCAAGCGCUACGAAGAGAUGGUGAGCAGUGAGCUUCAUGGAAAAGCUCGUCAUCGGCUCUACUUCCGCCGCCGCCGGCGAGCUCACUGUCGAAGAUCGGAACCUCCUCUCCGUCGCCUACAAGAACGUCAUCGAUCUGCUCACUCCGAGCCGCUUGGCGAAUCGUAUCGUCGAUUUAGCAGAAGGAGGGUCGGACUGUGAUUUCGCAAUGAUCGGAGACUGGGAUUCGCUGGAGAGAAUAAGGUUCACUGGUUCAGGUGGGAAGAUGAGGACAUGGAAGGGCUAAUUGAUAUUGUUUUGGAUGGGAAGGGAAGAAGCCCAGUUUUUUAGUAUUGAAGAAGAUAGUCUGAUUGAAAUAAAUGAUGUGGUUUCCGAGGAGAGUUGGGUACAGUUAACCUUGAUUAAUGAAAAUAUAAGAAUUAAGAUAGGGAGUAACUAAAAAGAGAUUUUGGUAUUUGGGUUGGGUGUUUUUCGGGUAUUCGGUUAAACCGAAUAGCUUAAAAAUAAAAUCCGUACAAAAUAACCGAAACCGUAAAAAAAUUCGGAUAUAACCGAAAUAUUAAAAAUAACCGAAUUUUUAGAAAAUUUCGGUUAAAUUAUUUCGGUUCGGUUCGGUAAUUCGGUUAUAACAGUUUUUUGCUCAGUCCUAGUUUAUAAUUUAUGUAUUGAAGGCUAUUUUGACAAGUAUGUAUUGAAUACUUAUUUGGCUUCAUUUGAAUGUAUGUUCGGCAUUUGACACCAAGAAAUAAAUAUAAUGGCACCAAGAAAUGAAUGCAACAAAUAGGAAUGUGACACCUCUAUGAAUUUUUAAGCCGUACAAUCAUAACUUAACGAUUAUAGAAUCAUGACUAAACGACAAUAGAGUCAUGACUUAACGAUCGUAGAGUCGUGAUUAAACGAGUAAUGAUUAGAUCGUAGUCAUGAUUUAAUGAUCGUUGAGUCAUAUCAAAGCUACUGGUGUGAUAACUCAGAUUUGUGGAAAUUAUUAAAAUAAGAAUUUAAUAAAUAAAAUUCCUAUUAUAUGAUAUGUUGUGUGAUAUAAUAUUGCAUAAAUGAGUAAGAACUAUGCAAUAUGUGAUGUUUACGCUUAAUAAAUAUAUUGGUAUUAUAUAUUUAUUAUAUGUCAAUAAAUUGUAGGGGUAAUUUAUUAAAGGAAAUGAGAUGGAUAAAAUUAAAAUAAUUUAUAAUAUUAAAUUAUUUUAAUAUGGUAGAUUGGUGGCAUUAAAUAUACUUCAUGUAUAACCACUAUUUUAUUGAAAAAAUUAUAUAUUACCUUAUUGAGUGUAAUGUAUGCAUGUAUUUAAUGUAGUGAAUAUAUUAAUAUAUUUACUAUAGUAAAAUAAAUUGUGAAGACAAUUUAUAGAAAGGAAAGAAAAUAAUUGGAUAUAUGAUAGUAUGUUACAUGGAUAAUGGUAUAAUAUUUAAUAUUAUACCAAAUGAUGUAAAGUAAAAAUAUGAGAUGCGAUCCAAUAUAUAAAAUAUGUAUAUUGGUAUCAACUAGUUAGUAAAUUAAAUUCAUAUUUGAAUAUAUUAAAUUAUAUAUUUAAUAUGUAAAUAAAUUGUUUGAAAACAAUUUAUGGAGAAAGGAAGGAAAUUGAUUUUAAUUAUAUAAUAUAGAUUGUAUAAUUUAAAUAAGUUACUUAAAAUAAUUAAUAAUACUAAUUAUUUUAAGUAAUGGUUUGGUACACUAAAAGUGUUAUUUUAUAAUUGGUUAAUUCCAUUUUUAUGGAAGAAUUUUAUACAUAUAUGUAUAUGUAUAGAUUAGCCAAAUUAUGUUGUAUUAACCAUACAUGUAUGGGUAUUAUGUAUAUCAUAUGUAUUAGUAUAUAUGUAAUGUAUGUUAUAUACGAAUGUAUGUAUUAAGUUUGCAUAAUUGCUUAUUCAUUUUUAGCAUGAGGUGUAUAAGUAAAGUAGGUGGUGUACUAGUUAGGAGGAAGCCACCUAGCAAAUCUAUUUGAGGGAUCCGGUUAGCAUGAAGUUAUUUUUUUGGUAAGUUGGUCAAUUGGCCAAUAGAAUACUGACACACAUACAACCUCGCAUGUGUGUCAGUAUUCUAUGGUCAAUUGACCAACUUACCUCAAAAUAAACUCCAUACUAACCAUUUCUCUAUUGGAGUGGGAAAUGAGGGAGCUGCUGGAAGAAGUUAGUGGGUUUUUUUUAUAUCCUUAUACAGUGCAACUCAUUUCACAUACUAAGUUCAAAAAUGUUCAGCCCUUUUACUCCCAAGAAAACCAAGCUCGAACUCUUCUUCAAAUCUUAUACAAGAAGCCUUUACCAAAAGUUAGACUAAGUGAAAUAAUUGAUACUCCAAGCGGGAAGUAAAGAAGAUUUUGAAGUAUUGGCAAAGGAGGGAUUCAAUUCCUACAUAAUCAAGCUCAGAGCAAGAUUUCAACUAUAAUAGCAAGCAAAAAUAGAAGGCAAGUUAUGUUUUAUUGGCAAAAUUCAUAAAAUUUGAGUAAAUAAUAGUUAUUAAUUGUUAUGAUUGGUUGUGGGAGGUUGUAUUAUUGGUGGCAUCAGAAAAAUUCCAGAGUAUAAGGAAGGAUUACAUAAGGAAAUUGUGUAUUUAUAUGUUAGAAUUUAUAUAAAACUGAGUUUUUUUAAAGCUUGCAUGUUUGGUGUUUGUUAAAAUGUCUAAAUGAGGAUAUUUUACUAGAAUAUGAAAUUAAUUGGUAUGCUUGAAUGGGUUAAUAACACAAACAAAUGGUUAUGGAAAUGGUGUUUCAAAACAGUGCAUAUGAAAUGUUCGAUAGAAGUCCAAGUCCUCUAUGAACUGUUUUGAUUAAAAAACCAAGUUUUAAGCAAAAUCAAAGCUUGGGUUAGAUAUGUAUAUCAUAUAUGAAGAUAAUUAAAGAGAUUGAGCAUACUAAGUUAAAGCGAAAAGCAAUUGGAAAUCAAAACGAAAAGUGAAAAACUAGUAUGACCGCUGACCUAGAGGCCAAUUUCGGGUCUAGUAUAUGUUUCCAGAAAAUUCUGGGCUUUUGGGGAUGUGUAGUACACUGAAUAAGCUUUCCAUAAACUCCGGAACAGACUAAUUCCGAUUUCGGAGCAAGAAGUUAUGACAGUUCAAAGUAGUCGCGUUGAAUCUGCCAAAAAUCUGGAAAACAGAUUUGAAGUAGCCCCUUGCACGAAUUUUCUGGAAUUUUGUGUUGAGAAUUUGAAAAUGGUUAAAGAAUAAAAGUCGUAGCCCCGGAAGUUAUCUUCGCGUGGGCUCAAGAAUCGCUCAAAAAUGUUUUGAAACGAAAAAGUUUUGACUGUUUUAGCGAGAGAGGGUAAAGCUGAAACAAAAGUGAAAACUGUUGUGAACGUACACUUUUGAUGCUCUGUUUGGGCUGCUUAACGAACCCGAAAGAAGAGUUUGAUAUUUUUUAAAAAUAGUCUCAUAUGAUACUAAAAACAUACUGAAAUUUGGAAUCGAUCCGAUAAACGAGCAAGGCGUGAGAAAAUUGCAAAGUAGGCAACUCGUUAAGCGCUGCAGCAGGCCAAGGCGGCAGCAGGGCAGGCAGCGCCCAGUGCCGCCGGCGCCUGCUGUGCAGGCUACUGCUGGAGUGAUUUUUGAGCUCCGUUUUGGUUAGUUUCCGUGGUUCGUUUUUGCGGAUAGAAAUUUUAAAAAAAUACUAUGACAUGAGGUCUAUAACAUACCAUAAAUUUGCCACGAUUCGAUUAAUGGUUUAAGAAUAAAAAAUGAGCGAAAAAGUAUGUCAGAACUUAAAAUCGGGAGACAACGAACAUAACCGACAUGGACUGUUUUGAUGUUCGACAUUCUGGAUCGUGUUUGGACUAAAUUUUAAGCAACAUAAAUCCUAAUAAAGACCCAAUAUCGAAGUAUUGAGGUUAUAUGGUACUUUAUGCCAUGAAAAUUCAUUCCGGGCAUAAAAAACGAAAUAAAAAUGUAAGGUAAAUAUAAAUUUACAUAGUUAUGUGAAUGCAAGUUGGAAAUGACACAAAAAAUGGUUUUAUAGCGAAACGAAAAUUAUGAAACCAUUAAAAAUAAUAAUGGUUAUGAAAGUAAUGAAAUGAAGGUUUCCGGAGUUCGAAACGAACAUUUUGAACGAAUAAUUAUAUAACGGUGCAUAUAUAUAUUUAUAUAUAUGCGAAGCGAGAAUGCGAAUUAUUCGUGAGAUAAAAUGCGAAGCUAAGUUGCUUAUGAAAUAAAGCAUUCGUGUAAGAGGGGAUAUGAUGAUUUAACACAUGAACUAUCAAAAAGGUAUGAAAAUUACCGAAAUUAAAGAUAUGAUGUAGUAAGUCAUGUUUGUGCAGUAAAAACUAUUCAUAAACCACAUGGUUCCGAGUUUACUAUAAAAGAGAGGAAUAUUCUUAAAAUAGGAUAUAAAUGAUUUAUGUUUCGAGAUGUAAAGUAUUUAUAUACUAGUCAUGUGAGAACGUUAUUAUGCAUAAAAAGGUUAAAACGAACAAAGUUUCUAAAGAAACCGAGAAUGGUUGUAAGACAAGAAUAAAAGAUUAUAGGUUAUGGUAACUAAUGAUCAUGACUUAUAUGAUUAAUUAAAAUUAAUAUGCACAAUACAUGUGACAUAAUUGGUUAUCUAAUAUGCGUGUAUGUGAACACGAUUGUGUAGGAUUCGUGAGGAGAAAUUAAAGUAAACUAUAACGGUAAUCCUCAAUCAAGGUAAGUUUUUAAGUUCUAUUAUGUUUGUAGAUUAAAUGUGAUAAUGUGGUGAGCUACAUACCAUGCUUUAUAAAUUGCUAAAGUCAAAAUAUGACUAAAUUAAUUGGGUUAUGGAACUCAAUUUAUAUGUGAUAUGUGAUAGCACAUGUUGUAUGAAGUAACUCGAUGAAUUAGAAAUGUAUAAUGCAUGAAUGUAUGCUUUGUAAGGAAUUAUUGAUGCAUGUAGGAUAUGCAUAGUAAAGAAUAUAUAUGUUGCAUGCGGAUAUGCAUAGUAAAGAAAAUAUAGUGCAUAUGGAAUUGUUUGCUAUGUGAAACAUGAUAGACGGUUAAAUUUGCUAGGUUGUCGAGCUCAAUCUUGCAAACACAAACUUUUUGCAGGUUAAUGAUGUUAAGCAAUAUUACUUGCUAUACGGAUGAUGAAGAUUGAACGAUGUGCAAAAUGAAUACAUUUCCUUGAAUUAGAAAUGAUAUAAAUCUAUUAUUGAAAGUUUUGUUAAAUAUAAUUAACAGUUAUGUAUAGUUUGAAAUGUUGAAUGGAUAAAGAAUGUUUAUUCUGAAAUGAGAAUAAAUAUAAUUCUGAAAUAAGUGAAUCAUCGAUAGAAAAGAUAUUAAGUAUUGAGACUUAGGUUUUUAAUACGUUUACUCAGAUUAUACAAAUCAUAUAAUAAAUAUGAUUUUUGUAUAAAGAAGAUUCGUAAAUGUUGCGAUUAAAGGAAACGAAAGAAAGACGGAAAGAAAAGUUUUAAGUUAUCCACAUAAGCUGUUAUUACAUUUAAUUACGAUAUAAAGCUAGAUCAAAAUAGUAAUUAACGCAUAAGAUCAGGAAGAGAAAUAGACCUGAUCUUGGGAUCGUUACAACUGGUAUCGUAGAGGUAAAUUAUUAUACGAAAUAAUUUAGACCUUUCAAAUAUAGAACCAUAAACAUUCACUGAAAUGCAUAAUAUAUUCAUUUGACAAAACCAUAAACAUUCAAUCUCAGUUGUAAUAUUUGUAACCAUGUCAUAAUCUAACCAUCACAACUUCAUAGUUACCAUAGUUACCUAAAGUACCAUAAUUAGCAACAAAAUACUAUACCUUGUCCUCAACCAUAAAAAACAGUAUUUACAAUCAACCAUAACUAAUGUAGUUUAAACAGUUUCAAAAAAUACUACAUCACGACAUAAUUACAGAAAUUCUAAUCCACCAUUAUUUCUUGCAAUUUUAUAUGGCCUUCGUGUGGUUUCUUGGCUUCCAACAACAUCUAUCUUCCUUUUGCCCCCUCUAGUUUGAAUUGUGGAGGAAACUAAGCUGAUACUUGGUGUUUGGAAUCCCAUUCCACUAAGUUGUGCUUCAUUUGGUGGGGUACUAACUGGAGUGGUAUUGUUGGUUGGAAAAAACACUAUUUUUCAUCACACAUGGAGUUGACAUCUACAAAAGAAAAAAAAAAGUCACAAAUUAACUUAGCUUUUUAAAGAUAGCAUGGAUAGUAGAGCAAUAUAGGUCUUUAAUCUUGCAAACAUAAAUGCUUGUGUGAGUCGCAUCUCACCUUUUCUUUACCUUUUUUUGUGGAUUGUAAUAUAUAUCAUAGUUCAUCUUUAUCAUUAUAUAUAUAUAUAUAUAUAUAUAUAUAUAUAUAUAUAUAUAUAUUCAAUGUAAGUCCAAGUCAAUAAGUGGACACUUACAUUUGGUGUUGGAAUCUUCACUUGGUUGAACUGAUAUCUUUCUGUAAUUACUACACCAAGCAGUGCAGUAGGCUCUUCAAUGGACUCAUAAAUAGGCUCUUCAAUUAGCUCUUCGAUUUGCUCUCAUGUAGGCUCUAACAUGGAGAUAACAUAAAAACCCACAAGAUAACAAGAAGAGAUUAAAAAAAUUCUAAUUUAAUCAUUUUGUUACUCACAACUCAUGUCCGAAAUCAAUUUAAUCAAGGAAAUCUUACAUACCUGCUUGAUCUAAUAGUAGCUACGCACAAGAUUCGCACCGAAGAAGAUUCGCCAACAAGACUUGCACGGAUAAUAUGCUGAUUUUAGCAGUUAUGGUUCGCGUUUUCACUUUUUCUCUUUCACAUGGUAGGGCUCGCACCUUCAAUUGGUCAACCAAAUGUUGAUAUACCCAUUGACUUUCCAACAUGACAAUGACUAGGAUGUACGCACGUGAAAUAAGUGACGUGAACUUGGAUAUGGGGUCAUCCUUUUCGGAUAUAAUAAGUUUCUGUUAAAAGUAAACUCAUUUAACGAAUUUUGUAAUGAUUUGACAAAAAAUUAUAGUUAACUGACUCGAUUGUUAAAAUUUUCAGUCCAAUGAUGCAUUUGUAAACCGAGGUCGAGUAUAGCGGGGAAAAGUGAAUUUAACCCGAAUAUGAAAUGAUUACUAUUGUAAUAACCCGAAUUUUUGUUUAUAAUUAAAUAUUAAUUUUAUUUUUCCUAAAAGCAUAAUUGAAUUGAGAAAGGUAAGUUACUAUUUUUAUUUCGUUAAUAAUUUUAUUUCGCUUGAAAAUUUAAAUUCUUUUAGUAGAUAAUUUAAUAAUUGAUUUCAUUAAAAUUAAAGAGUCCAUUAGGGUUUUGAUAACUCCUAUUAUUUCCAUGUUAUAUUUAAGGAGUAGAAAUGUAACCAUAAUCCUAUUCUCAUUUGAUUAGUUGAAUUCCCGAGUAGAAUUCUCAUACGCACUGCAGCCCUUUAGAAAUAUCAUAAUUAAUUAAUCCGAUGUUGGAAUUGAAUGAACUUCUUUUGUUUUUCGUUCUCUACAAAUAUGAAGAGGGAGAAAAGUUAUUUGACAUCAUCUUCAUAUCUUAAAUUGUUGAAAACCACAACCUAUCCUAAUUCCCAUCGUGUUUUUUAGCCCUAAAUUUUGAAAAUUCGUAAUUCGAUCAUAUUAACUUUGAAUCGAGUGAUUCUUAAGCCUAGUUUGUGUAUCUUUUCUAGAGCUAUAAUUUUUGUGAAGACAUGAAGAGAUUUUGAAGACUCUAGAAGAUCCAAAAGUCAGAUUUUAUUGUUGCGUAUUGAAGAAAGACGAACAAUGAAUGUAAAUAUUAUUUUAUUUUUUGAUUUUAAGUUUAAUUAUGAGGGUUUUUAAACUAGAGAUUGAUUUUAAAUAAAAUAUAGACAUGAAAUUGGUUAUCAUGAUAAUCCGAAAGAUGAGAUAAAAUAUAGCCAUUUUGAUUCAAUCUUCUGUUUGUUUCGUUAAUUUUGUUGAUUCAAAUAUAUUAUAUUCAGACUUUGGAGAUUCUAUUAUCGUCGGUAUUUAUGCUUAAGGUCUUGCUCAGUAUUUGGUCAGUUGAUUCUAUAUUUCAGUUGUGCAUCUUUUGUCUAUCUUUAUCCGUACUGGGCAUUUGGCUCAUGCUGUAUUUUUUUUCUGACAGGUUUGCAGGGGCGGUUUAGGGUUUCGUGUUAAGAGAACAACCUUUGGCCAGCUAGGUUGAUUUGAUUUUAGAUUUUGAUAAAUUGUGAUUAUUCUGUAGAUCUUUGGAGAAUUGCAUUUAAUUCGAUAUUUAUGAAUUAUCAACUAUUAAAUAUUUUGAAGUUAUUAGUAUUCUGUUAAUUAGUUUGAGGUUUAUUGUGUUUUACACGUGACAUCCAUGUCCUAUUCGGGAAGGGGCUGUUACGAUUAUGCUACUAUUAUCUCUUGGUUGUGUAUAUGACAACAUUAACCCUGGCCUAUAUACGUAUAAUUUAAUAGGUGAGAUCAGUGGCAUACCUGGUUAUUUUAUACCAGAUUCGUCAAUGGACACACUAUUGCACUUGUGUUAGGAUGCGCAUAGCUGUAAAUGAUAAUGUGAACAUCUUUUAUUUGCUGAAUUUUGAUUUUUUGGAUAACCAUUUCAUAGUUUGAUAUUCAUUUGUUUCUGUCUGCUACGUUAACCAUUAACAGUAAAUAAUCAUUUUAAAGUUUUAAUAGCAUGAAUAAUCAGUUAUUGUACCAGUAGUAAAAGAGUGCUGACAAAAUUUCAUCAGCAGUCGGGUACAUCCUGUGGACCCAAGAAACCUGUAGAUUAACUUUUAGAUAUUUGUCUAGUCAACUGGUUGUGGAGAGGUCGAUGGGAAAAGAUGGUAGAGCAACUUAGGUUGGUGGUAAGAUUAUUUUGAUUAACAUGUGUGAUUGGAAAGUGUGAGAUUAAGUAUAAUAUCAGCUUUUGAUUUCUG